rnacentral:ncRNA from 1 species
AUGAGAAAAUUUUAUAUAUAAAUAAAUUUUUAUGAUUUAAAAAAAUUUAAUUUAAAUUUAUUUUACAUGUAAAUUUUAGUGUUAAUUUUUAAUUAUUUUAAUAAUAAUUAUUAAUAUUUGCAGUAAUUAAAAUUAAAAAUUUAAGAAAUUAAGAUUUAGAAAUAUUUUGAUUAUUAACAAAUUUUGUGCCAGCCCGUUGCGGUUAUACAAAAAAUAAUUUAAAUUUUAUCGGUAUAUAAUAAAUAAGAAUUAUUAUUUAAAUUAAAUAUUAAAUUAUUAAGUGAAAUUUUAAUUUAAUUAAAAUUUAUAUUAAUUUUAUGAUUUAUUAAAUUUUAUAAAAAACUAGGAUUAGAUACCCUAUUAUUAAAAAUUAAAUUUAUAAUACUAAAAUAGUAGAUAAUAAUUUAUUGAAACUUAAAUAAUUUGGCGGUAUUUUAGUUCAUUUAGAGGAAUCUGUUUAAUAAUUGAUAAUCCACGAAUAAAUUUACUUAAUUUAUUAUUUUGUAUAUCGUUGUUAAAAAAAUAUUUUUUAAUAAAAAUAAUAUUUAAAAAUUUUUAUAUAAAAUUAAUUCAGAUCAAGAUGCAGAUUAUAAUUAAGAAUAUAAUGGAUUACAAUAAAUAAAUUUAAAUGAAUAAUAUUUUUUAAUAAAUAUUUGAAGGUGGAUUUAAAUGUAAUUUUAAUUAAUUUAUUAAAAUGAUUAUAUAUUAAAAUAUGUACAUAUUGCCCGUCGCUUUCAUUAAUAAAUUGGAAUAAGUCGUAACAAAGUAGAGGUACUGGAAAGUGUUUCUAGAAAGAA